ACCUGGAUUUACUAAACGAAUGCUGCACUUCCCUUAACCUGAAAAUAGAAGAAAGGCUCUCUGGUAUAGUGGUUGCGAGAUAUCUCGCCAGCCAGGGAGCGGACUUUCACCAUAAAAACAACAAAAAUAACACACCAUUGGACCUCAUUAAGGACCCAAAUUUGAGAAAAAAAUUAGAAGCAUUUUUACCACCACAAUGUUUAUUGUGCAGAAAUAAAGCGGCCACAACAAAAGUCCAUCCAUGUG